GUCAACUACCUACCACCUAUAGAGGUGGAGGCUUGCAAAAGCCUUAGUUGACUACCCUCAGCCAGGGUCGAAAGACCAUCGGGCUACGUUAGGCAUGUCAUGACACCAUGGGAUGAUGCCCAAGUCCCAUGCUCUGUC
rnacentral:sRNA from 15 species